CCUGCCUUCAGACCUUCAGAGGUGUCCAGAAUCUGGAACUUCCAGCCUCAACCCUUCCAGGCCCAUGUCCUGGGCUGUCUAAAGCCCCAGUCACACAAUCAAAUGACCCAGCUUCUGAAGGAGCAAGAGGGAAGCAGGGCGAGGUGCCAGGCAAGAGCGAGUUCUGCCCCUUUUUAAUCACAAAUCUCUGAAUGAGCACACACAUUCCUGAAUGUUUCACAACUGGUCUUCCUGGAAAAACAGCCCGGAUGUGUUGCCUUGGAGACAGUGAACCCACCAAGCAGGAGGAGGCCCCACGGGCCAGUGCCAUCGAAGCAGAAUGAAGAAGGCUUGUUUCUGCCCUACAGAGCACUGUGUGGCUAGGGAGACACGCAAGGUUCUCACUUCAAACAACGGGGGAAUGAUCUCUGUGACAUUCCACAAUGGGAGAUGUGGCCACGACACUCCCUGAGGCAGUGAACCACAGAUAAUUAAAGGAUGUAGGGAUAAGUGACAAGACCCCAGAGUCUCCCAAGGGCCCUUCUCCGGUUUGGCUGGUUUACCCAGGCGCCUCUUGGCUCAGUCACUCCCGCUCCUGGAAUUCCUUUCCAAGGACAGGAAGAGGGAAAAGAGCGACGGGGAAGAUUCCAGACUGUCCCUUCCACCAUUCUCCCUCUGACUUCAGGCUGCACCCCACAAACCCGUGGCUCACCUCCUGCAAAUCUCUUCACUCUGCCCAGCCUAGUUUCCUGAAUCACAUGACUAUUCCCUUCCUUCACGGCCAUGCCAGUAUUAAUAUGCCUGUGCUCCUUCCCUGAUGACCUGCAAACUGACAGGUGAAUCUGUGUGUGGGGCCCUGUCUGUGUAUCACCUGCUAGUAGGACUUCAGACUACUGUUGUGGCAAUCAGGAGUGACAACAGGCAUGGACAGCCUGCCGGCCCAGUUCCACCAGCAGGUGUGACUUGUUCACUACGGUUCUGCGUCUUGAAUGUGGGAGCAAGUGUGCUGUGGGGGGCAGGUACCUCUGCGGCACUCGGUCCCCCGAUGUUCUUAAUGCAAUGCUCGUGUACCUUAUCACGCAAGAGACACUGUAAAUGUCAGCUAAGAACACAGGACUCUGGACUCCCUGGGUUUGAAUCCUAGCUCUCUGGCCGUGGGCAAGAUACUUAAAAGCACAUCUGCAAUACAAGGAAGAAAAUACACUUAUUGAACCCUGGCUGUGCACUGGCAGCUGUUUCUUCAUUUCCAUAACGACCCUUGUAGGUAAGUGUCAUUCAGACCCUCACAGGGGGCUUCAUGGGCCAAACAAGACAACGGGUGCACAGUGAGUGGUCAAUAAACAUGAGUUAUUUGCUAUUUAUUUACCUCACUAAUGUCUAAGUUAGGCCAUUGAAGUAGUUUUAUUAAAGAAAGUUAGAACUAAAAAGGAUUUGACAAAUGAAUGGCCCAGAUUUUACUGAAAAACCAGGGAGAGAGGGAGAGAGGGAGACAGAGGGAGAGAGAGAGAGAGAGAGAGAGAUUUGCCUAGAGCCAUCCCAUCUAGGGGUCCAGAGGCAGAGCUGAGAUGAAAACCCAGGAACCUGCUUGAGGGCCAUAACAUACUUGACACUAAGAGAUCAAGUCAGCCUGGUGCUGGGUUUGGCUUCAGCACAGUUUCCAGGGAAUAGUGUAAACAGCAUUUCCAAGGCACAUUGACAGAGAAUGAAGAUCUGUGGUUGGCAGGGAACCUCUUUGGAGAAUUGUCUCCUGAAGGCCAGACACCAUAGCAGAUUGGUGUUCCUGACAUCCCUCCCUGGUGCCCCUCAUAGAGCCCCAGCCCAGAUGGGGAGUUAGGUUACAGAAGUUCUAUGUGCAACCACCUGGCUUAUCCUUCCUAGUUGUGACAUCUAAGCUCAUUCCUUCCCCCAUCUUGGAACCUCAGUUUCCCCAGAACUUGCUCCCCAAAAUGAAUUCGUGCCUGACAAUGAUUCAUCGGAGCAUCUGGUGUUACAGCCCCUGGCAAGAACGGCCAUCAUCUUCUUUUCUGACCCAGGGAUUCAGGGAUGCUGGGCCCCUGGCUUUGAUGGUUUUGGGGCCGUGAACUGAGUUUCCAAGGAACCAGUCAUCCAGAUACCCCCUAAGCAGUAAGAGCCGAGACCAUAGCCCUUCAUUAGUCCCUGAAACACAGCCAUUCCAGAAUGUAUCUGAUUGCUAACCCACUCUAGUCUCACCACCUGAGAAACUGAUCCUCUAAGAAGAAAAUGGGGCCCCAGUGCCGUCUCUGCGACCCCACCUUCCCAGGGCCUCCCCCAUGCUGGCGUGAUCCAGGUGGAGCCCUGACACAGGAGUGACAUCUGAGUUUGAACCCUCUGUCUUCAGUCCAACACCCACUUUUUCUGGGCAGUGAGGAAGCUGGAAUGUGACAUCUCUAAGGCCCUCUUUGUGGCAUUGCCUCUGUAACUCUAGUAACUGCCUCUCCCAAAGGUAGAGAGCAUUGUGAGACUGAAAUGGAGUAACCUAUAAUUAAAACAUUUUAAAGCCUGG